rnacentral:rRNA from 1 species
CUACGGAGGGUCCAAGCGUUAUCCGGAAUCAUUGGGUUUAAAGGGUCCGCAGGCGGUCAAUUAAGUCAGAGGUGAAAGCCCAUCGCUCAACGAUGGAACUGCCUUUGAUACUGGUUGACUUGAGUUAUACGGAAGUAGAUAGAAUAAGUAGUGUAGCGGUGAAAUGCAUAGAUAUUACUUAGAAUACCGAUUGCGAAGGCAGUCUACUACGUAUAUACUGACGCUGAGGGACGAAAGCGUGGGGAGCGAACAGGAUUAGAAACCCCAGUUAGUCC